AAGUCGUAACAAGGUUUCCGUAGGUGAACCUGCGGAAGGAUCAUUAACACAAAUUUUGAUUCACAAAUCUCUUUGCUUCGUUGUCUUUUUUCUCUAGAUGCAAGAAAUUGCAGCUAGAGAAGAGCAACAAGCAAUUAACCCCCUUUCUAUGACGAAAAAUCUUUACAAAAGAAUGGAAGAAAAGGAAAAUGUGUUUCGUCACAAUCCGUUUCAACCGUUUUUUUCCUUUACCCAAUUUUUUUUACCCCUUUUACAACAUGUAAUAGACUGAAAACAAAAAUCACAUUCUAGAUCUCUAGAAUCUAAAACUAAGAAAACAACUCUUAGCAACGGAUAUCUAGGUUCUC
rnacentral:misc_RNA from 1 species